AUUCUAUGUCCCCAGCUCGAUGUCCCCAACUCCGUGUCCUCAGCUCCACCCAGUGUCCUCACCUCCGUCCCGUGUCCUCAGCUGUGUCCUCUGUCCUCUGCUCCAACAGAGCCGGCAGCUGUGAGCUGAUUGCGCCCGCUCGUUAUGCAGCCUGUAUCGCUAAUGGCCUGUGACAAAGGCACACGGCUUCCAGGCCUCACCCCCGAGAGCCAAUUAAACACACACACUCCCUUCCUGUUUGCAGCGCAUUACAAUGAAAUUAAACUGAAUUUCAAAAUCA